UACGUAGGGUCCGAGCGUUGUCCGGAAUUACUGGGCGUAAAGAGCUCGUAGGUGGUUUGUCGCGUUGUUCGUGAAAACUCACAGCUUAACUGUGGGCGUGCGGGCGAUACGGGCAGACUGGAGUACUGCAGGGGAGACUGGAAUUCCUGGUGUAGCGGUGGAAUGCGUAGAUAUCGGGAGGAACACCAGUGGCGAAGGCGACUUCCUGGCCUGUUCUUGACGCUGAGGCGGCGAAAGCUAGGGGAGCAAACGGG
rnacentral:rRNA from 1 species